rnacentral:rRNA from 1 species
AUUGAACGCUGGCGGCAGGCUUAACACAUGCAAGUCGAGCGGAGAGAGGUAGCUUGCUACUGAUCUUAGCGGCGGACGGGUGAGUAAUGCUUAGGAAUCUGCCUAUUAGUGGGGGACAACAUUUCGAAAGGAAUGCUAAUACCGCAUACGUCCUACGGGAGAAAGCAGGGGAUCUUCGGACCUUGCGCUAAUAGAUGAGCCUAAGUCGGAUUAGCUAGUUGGUGGGGUAAAGGCCUACCAAGGCGACGAUCUGUAGCGGGUCUGAGAGGAUGAGCCGCCACACUGGGACGGAGACACGGCCCAGACUCCUACGGGAGGCAGGAGUGGGGAAUAUUGGACAAUGGGCGCAAGCCUGAUCCAGCCAUGCCGCGUGUGUGAAGAAGGCCUUAUGGUUGUAAAGCACUUUAAGCGAGGAGGAGGCUACUUUAGAUAAUACCUAGAGAUAGUGGACGUUACUCGCAGAAUAAGCACCGGCUAACUCUGUGCCAGCCGCCGCAGUAAGAC